rnacentral:rRNA from 1 species
GGUUUAAUCGUUGCUACACGAAGUAACUUACCUGGGUUUGACAUAUAGGUUGUAGGGAACUGAAAAGGGACCGACCCUUCGGGGAGCUAUACAGGUGUUGCAUGGCUGUCGUCAGCUCGUGUCGUGAGAUGUUCGGUUAAGUCCGCUAACGAGCGCAACCCUCGUCGUAUGUUAUAUGUGUCAUACGAGACUGCCGGUAAAAGCCGGAGGAAGGUGAGGAUGAUGUCAAGUCAGCAUGACCUUUAUAUCCAGGGCUACACACACGCUACAAUGGUCUGUACAAUGGGUAGCCAAGCCGCGAGGCGGAGCCAAUCCUGAAAAGCAGGCCUCAGUUCAGAUUGCAGUCUGCAACUCGACUGCAUGAAGCCGGAGUUGCUAGUAACCGCAGGUCAGCAAUACUGCGGUGAAUACGUUCCCGGGUCCU